rnacentral:rRNA from 1 species
AGGCCAGACUCCUACGGGAGGCAGCAGUGGGGGAUAUUGCACAAUGGGGGGAACCCUGAUGCAGCGACGCCGCGUGGGUGAAGAAGUAUUUCGGUAUGUAAAGCCCUAUCGGCAGGGAAGAAAUUGGACGGUACAUGACUAAGAAGCCCCGGCUAACUACGUGCCAGCAGCCGCGGUAAUACGUAGGGGGCAAGCGUUAUCCGGAUUCACUGGGUGUAAAGGGAGCGUAGACGGCCAUGCAAGCCUGGAGUGAAAGUCCGGGGCCCAACCCCGGGACUGCUCUUGGAACUGCGUGGCUGGAGUGCAGGAGGGGCAGGCGGAAUUCCUGGUGUAGCGGUGAAAUGCGUAGAUAUCAGGAGGAACACCGGUGGCGAAGGCGGCCUGCUGGACUGCAACUGACGUUGAGGCCCGAAAGCGUGGGGAGCAAACAGGAUUAGAUACCCUAGUA